rnacentral:rRNA from 1 species
UACGAAGGGGGCUAGCGUUGCUCGGAAUCACUGGGCGUAAAGGGUGCGUAGGCGGGGCUUUAAGUCAGGGGUGAAAUCCUGGAGCUCAACUCCAGAACUGCCUUUGAUACUGAAGAUCUUGAGUUCGGGAGAGGUGAGUGGAACUCCGAGUGUAGAGGUGAAAUUCGUAGAUAUUCGGAAGAACACCAGUGGCGAAGGCGGCUCACUGGCCCGGUACUGACGCUGAGGUGCGAAAGCGUGGGGAGCAAACAGG